rnacentral:rRNA from 1 species
GACGAACGCUGGCGGCGUGCUUAACACAUGCAAGUCGAACGGAAAGGCCCUGCUUGCAGGGUACUCGAGUGGCGAACGGGUGAGUAACACGUGGGUGAUCUGCCCUGCACUUCGGGAUAAGCCUGGGAAACUGGGUCUAAUACCGGAUAGGAGCCAUUUUUAGUGAGAUGGUUGGAAAGUUUUUUCGGUGUAGGAUGAGCUCGCGGCCUAUCAGCUUGUUGGUGGGGUAAUGGCCUACCAAGGCGGCGACGGGUAGCCGGCCUGAGAGGGUGGACGGCCACAUUGGGACUGAGAUACGGCCCAGACUCCUACGGGAGGCAUCAGUGGGGAAUAUUGCACAAUGGGCGCAAGCCUGAUGCAGCGACGCCGCGUGGGGGAUGACGGCCUUCGGGUUGUAAACUCCUUUCGCUAGGGACGAAGCUUUUUGUGACGGUACCUAGAUAAGAAGCACCGGCUAACUACGU